rnacentral:rRNA from 1 species
GUGGAUGAUCUAUCUCUUAGUGGGGAAUAACCCUGGGAAACCGGGGAUAAUACCGCAUAAGCUCGAGAGAGGAAAGCAGCAAUGCGCUGAGAGAGGAGUCCGCGGCCGAUUAGCUAGUUGGCAGGGUAAAAGCCUACCAAGGCAGAGAUCGGUAGCCGGCCUGAGAGGGCACACGGCCACACUGGCACUGAAACACGGGCCAGACUCCUACGGGAGGCAGCAGUGGGGAAUCUUGCACAAUGGGGGAAACCCUGAUGCAGCGACGCCGCGUGAGCGAUGAAGCCCUUCGGGGUGUAAAGCUCUUUCGGCAGGGAAGAUAAUGACGGUACCUGCAGAAGCAGCUGCGGCUAACUACGUGCCAGCAGCCGCGGUAAUACGUAGGCAGCGAGCGUUGUUCGGAGUUACUGGGCGUAAAGGGUGUGUAGGCGGUUGUUUAAGUUUGGUGUGAAAUCUCCCGGCUCAACUGGGAGGGUGCGCCGAAUACUGAAUGACUUGGAGUGCGGGAGAGGAGAGUGGAAUU